rnacentral:tRNA from 1 species
GGAGGCGUGGCUGAGCGGUUGAAAGCAGCACACUGCUAAUGUGUUAACCCCCAAAAGGGGUUCGGAGGUUCGAAUCCUCCCGCCUCCGCCA